GAAGAAUGUAACCAUAGCAACCUGUCGUUUAGCGCCGACCAUCUCUUGUACGUUUCAGAAUUUAAGUCUGUGAGAAUCUCCAUUCGUAAGUAGAACUGUCUUGCUGGGAACAUUUUGUUCUUUACUGUAAAGUAAGUCUGAAGACAGGCAGUCGGAUGGCUCUGAACAAGGUGUUCAGGUGAAGAAGACGCUCGGCAACCGUGAAAGGUGCAAGUGCAUCCGCAGAUCUAAAGCUCUAUCUAGCAGAUCUGCACUGGACUGCCCCACAAUCUGGUGGAUAUCUUCAUCUCAGUCAGCAAAGCGCUUACUCCUCCAGAUCACUGAGAUAACUGAAAUUUGGAGCAUGCUUGUGCCCAAUUCAUAGUCAGACAUGAGAGAACAAAAAAUCUUCAACUCUUCGGAAACUCGGGGCUGCCCACACUUUCAGCAGAUGUCUUCAGUCCUGUGUCUCCUUAAUAAGUUAAUGGAUCCUAUUAAGUUCUCAUACUAUCAGCAUAGAUGAUUCAUCAGUGACACAAAAUUACUAAAAUAUUUUAUAACUAUUGUCCAUUGAUACAUCAGUCUUUAUUACUAUUAGUAUGAUCUUACUCUUGGCUGGAUAACAAAAUUAUGUCUAACUUAGUGAACUUUAAAAAAUGAAUAAGCAACUAUUGGCAGGUCUAACUUGGGCCUCCUUGGAAUAGGAUCAAAGGACUGGCAUUACUGCAGUACUCUUGGUUUGAAUUUAUUUACUUUUAUUUUUUAUUUGUUUUUUAUUUUUGAGAUUAUAAUUACAUCAUUAACCCUUUGUUUUUUCCCUCCAAAACCUCCCCUCAUUCACUUUCAAAUUCACAUCCUCUUUUUUUAUUAAUUUUUCUUAUAUUUGUAUGUAUAUAGAUUCAAAACUAUUGAAUUCAUGAUUCCAGCCCAUCCACACUGUACAAUGUCACUUGUGUGUGUAUGUUUCCAGAGCUGAGCAGUUGACAUAGGGUAACUAAUUCUUGUGCUUCUCAUUGGGAAAGACUCUUUCUCCCCAUUUCAGAAUUCCUUAAUUGCUGUGGAUUUGUGUGUGUCUUGAGCCUUGUGGGUUCUCCUCAACCUCCAUUAACAUGUCCCUCUGCGUCUUACAGUUUUGUCUUUUCCAUACAGUAUAUUUUUGUCAUAUUUUCCCUUCCUCGAACUCCUUCCAGAUCUACCCCACCUGCCUACCCAUUACCAUCAUUCCCCCAUUUCUUAAACAACAGAAAGAACAAUCAUUUUUUCUUAAGGGUCUAGGGCAACCCCCUUCCAUGCCUUUUCCAUGUCUUGCCAGAUUUUUGAAGACCGUUCCUCUCAGCUCCCUUUUUCUAUUUUCAAACCUGCCUAUAUACCUUCUGGUUUUUAAUUCAGCUGAGAAAAGUUGCCACCUUUUAAAAAAAACUUGUAAAUGGUUUAGUUCACCUAGAUGAGCACAGCUUAGUCUAAUCAUAAGGUCCUUAAUCAAAAUUCCAUUUGUGAGAUUAUUUCAACCAUGGAAGGAAGCAUAGUCAUAAAUGCCAGGGAGUAGAUCAUCUUUCAACAUCCUACACAUCAUUUUGAUUGACAUCCUACACAAGUGUGAGCUUUCUGAGAGCAAAGAGCAUCUCUAUCCACCUCCAUUUUUGCAAUAUGCCCUACAAGUGGAGCUCAUCAAUGUUCAUUCAGUGCUGUUAAACAGACAUGAGCUUGAGAUAAAUUAAAAUAUGCUCCCUCUUCUACAUAAAGAAACAAUAGCUAUAAAAGAAGAACCUCACACAAGGUAUAGAGAAGAAUUAAUAACAAACUAAUUAAGGAAAAGACUUAGUAACAAACUAAAUCAAGACCAUGAUGUCAAAAUGAAAAAAAAUAAGCACCCUGCUUCUUGAAAUGUUGGUUCGGGGAACAUCAAGGAAGAGGGAGUGGAAAGACUGGAAGAGGAAGAAGGUAUGGAGAACAGCUGCAGAGUUAUGUCUUCAUGACAAGACACUACUGAGACACCAGUGCACUCACAACCGCUAUGACUGUGACUGUAUGCAGAAGACCUGAACAGUCAGAAUCACAGAUGGAUCACAGAGGACACAGAAUCACAUGGUAAGAUACAGAAAGAUAGAAAACUACUUCACUAUUUCUUUUACCAGAGAGAGAGAGGGGAGAGGAUACAUAGGUAGAUUAUAAAUAUAGAUAGACAGAUUAUAGAGAGAGAUAAAUGAUAGAGAUAGACAGAGAAGGAGAGACAGAGAGACACAGACAUAGACAUAUUAAAAAUUAGAACAUGAGUAAGCACCCAAGAAACAUAAACUGAGGGCUACUUUAUUCUACAAUACCCUUUGCUAACAUGUUUGAAAGUUCUCAGGGUAAAGAAGAGAUUAUUAAGACUGAGGAACUGUCCCCAAACACAAGAAAUUCAUGAUGAAAAGUAUGCUGUGGUAUCAGAUCAGAUUUGAGGCCACACAAACACACACACACACACACACACACACACACACACACACAUGCACACACACACACACACCCACACACCUAAAUAUGUGAAUACACUAUGGUCAGUCUAUCUAGCGUUAUCUGUAUGCAUACAAUGUCCUUUUUAAUUUUAUUCAUAUACAAAAGGGGGACGUUUACAAUUUGAUGGUUUUCUUAGUUCUGAAGAGGUACCAAAGGAACACAUUCCUGUCUCAUGAACCCCUGUCAAAGAUUAUUUGAAGUAACUUUCAUGGGAUACAAACAAAACAGAACAGGUCAAUGCCAAAAUUACUAAGAACAAAGCCAGCACAGAGAAAUAAAUAAAAUAUGUUAAGUCUUACAUAAAAGGGAAGGAGGCAGUGUAUAGAGAUGAUGGAAAAGAGGAAAAGAGGGGAAAAGGAAAAAGAAUGAAAUGAAAAAUAAAAUUUGCACACAAGAAGUAUCAUUAAAAGAACUGGAGAAAACUUUUGGGUCAGAAGCAAAAAGAUAGAAGAGGCAGAAACAAGGAUAGAGCCAGGCUCAUUCAAGAAAGGCUCCCUGGAGAAGUGACAUUAAAGGCUAAAUACUGGGAAAUGUACAGUGUUAAAUCGGAAAGAGAUUGCAGAAGACAAUCCAGUGGAGCAGGAAGGAAUUUUCUACAAGAAAGGACGAACUAAGACCAGGAUGUGCAAAACCUAAAGAAGUGGCCAGGGUAAGUGGGAUUUCCUCUCAAAAAUACUAAGAAGCCCUGAAGAACUACAGAGAUGAUUCCUACUCCGUAUCUGUGAAGCCCACAUAGGUAUUUGAUGGAACUUUUCUUGGUUGCUAAACUAAACAAAUAAACAUUGCUAAGUUGAACUGCUUUGCUCUGGAAUUUUCUCUGAUGUAUUUG
ensembl:lncRNA